CAUGUGGUUUAAUUCGAUGAUAAGCGAAGAACCGUUACCAGGGUUUGACAUGCUAUCUAAGACCGACGUGAAAGCGUCGGUUACGUCGGGCUUGCCCGAUGAAUUUAGCACAGGUGCUGCAUGGCUUGUCGUCAGCUCGUGCCGUGAGGUGUCCAGGUUAAGUCCGGUAACGAGCGCAACCCCUAUCUUUAGUUGCCAGCGCCUUGGGCGGGCACUUCUAAAGAGACUGUCGGUGGAAAAUCGGAGGAAGGUGGGGAUGACGUCAAGUCAGCAUGGCCCUUACACCCUGGGCUACACACAUGCUACAAUGGCCGAUACAACAGGUCGCAAACCCGUGAGGGGAAGCCAAUCCUCCAAAGUCGGUCUCAGUUCGGAUUGCAGGUUGAAACUCACCUGCAUGAAGUUGGAAUCGCUAGUAAUCGCAGAUCAGCAAUGCUGCGGUGAAUACGUUCCCGGACCUUGCACACACCGCCCGUCACACCACGAAAGUCGGUUCUACCCGAAGUAGCUGUGCUUAACUUCGGGAGGCAGUCCUAAGUAGGCCGUAUGG
rnacentral:rRNA from 1 species